rnacentral:rRNA from 1 species
UACAGAGGCCUCGAGCGUUAGGCGGAAUCACUGGGCUUACAGCGUGUGUAGGCGGACUUCUAAGUACCUUGUGAAAUCCCACGGCUUACCCGUGGAACGGCUGGGUAUACUGGUUGUCUUGAGCCACUUAGGGGCUACCGGAACAAAUGGUGGAGCGGUGAAAUGCGUAGAUAUCAUUUGGAACGCCAAUGGUGAAAACAGGUAGCUGGGAGUGUGCUGACGCUGAGACACGAAAGCCAGGGGAGCGAACGGG